AGCCGAUGUCAGUCUGGUAUGGCAGGAGGGGCCUGGGUGGGAGCCGUCCUGGGAUUGCAGAUUGGGCCUUGGGGCGCCAGGUGGCUGAGUCCUGGCGCUGUGUCCUUUCAGGAUGGUGGAUGUGGGGGGCCAGCGGUCGGAGCGGAGGAAGUGGAUCCACUGCUUUGAGAACGUGACAUCCAUCAUGUUUCUCGUCGCCCUCAGCGAAUACGACCAAGUCCUGGUGGAGUCGGACAACGAGAACCGGAUGGAGGAGAGCAAAGCCCUGUUCCGGACCAUCAUCACCUACCCCUGGUUCCAGAACUCCUCCGUCAUCCUCUUCCUCAACAAGAAGGACCUGCUGGAGGACAAGAUCCUGUACUCGCACCUGGUGGACUACUUCCCCGAGU
rnacentral:sRNA from 1 species